AUGGCUCAGGAUUAACGCUGGCGGCAUGCCUAAUACAUGCAAGUCGAAUGAGAAGCUUGCUUCUCAUGGCGAACGGGUGAGUAACACGUAGGUAACCUGCCUUACACUCGAGGAUAACCGUUGGAAACGACGGAUAAUACUGGAUAGGACAAAGAUUCGCAUGAAUCGUUGUUUAAAAGCAAUGGUGUAUGAGGGGCCUGCGGUGCAUUAGCUAGUUGGUGAGGUAACGGCUCACCAAGGCGAUGAUGCAUAGCUGGACUGAGAGGUUGAACAGCCACAAUGGGACUGAGAACGGCCCAUACUCCUACGGGAGGCAGCAGUAGGGAAUUUUCGGCAAUGGGGGAAACCCUGACCGAGCAAUGCCGCGUGAACGAUGAAGUAUUUCGGUAUGUAAAGUUCUUUUAUUAGGAAAGAUAGUGACGGUACCUAAUGAAUAAGCUCCGGCUAACUACGUGCCAGCCGCCGC
rnacentral:rRNA from 1 species